UUUCAUUUUCUAUGGAAUUUCAAUGCAGAUGUUUGUGUGUAAGCGAUGUAUGUUCUCUUACCACACUUUUUGUUGUUGAACACUAUUCUUAGGAUUGUGACGGACCAAUAUGUUAAAUCCAGCCAUUGUGAUGCUUGGUGCAACUAUGUAUUCUAAAAUCUUGCAUAGAAAAUAGAACUUUCAAAAUCUUGGUUCAUGACAACUCUAGAAAUGGUACUGAAUGGUCCAAUUUCAUUUGCAUGUCUGUGUGCCUGUGCAUGCUCAUUUUGUUUCCUUUCCGAUGCUUCAAAGUUGCUAAUGGGUGCAUUUUUUGUCUAGUUAUUUUCCUUUGCCUUGUGUUGUUGUUUUUCUUAGACUAUCAGUGGUCCUAGAAUUACAGGAAUUUUAGUAAAAGAGCAACUAUUGUCUAUUGAGAUGCUCCUUUUGUCUUUUGCAGCUGUUAGCCCUCCCGUCAUGAAAUAGGUUACAGAUUCAUAAAGUUGUCCAUAGUUGUGUUUAUUAUUCAUGGUCAUCUUCAUAGGAAUGGUGAAAUUUGGGCAUUGAUGACAUUUCUUUCUUAGUUGGCACUACACCAAAAUCGUUGAUUAAGAAUGGAUUAAUUUUUGGUUUAGGAAUGGCCUAUGGUAUUCCUUUACAGAGUCUCAUUGACAUGUGCACUGAGAGUGCGGGAGAACUGCUUCGAUUGAAUUUCGGCAAAGAAGUUGUAUAUUAGGUGAUUCAUUUGUUUUCCAGUACAUGGUUGAUGCAUUUCCUAUACUCACGAUUCUACUUUUGUCCUUGAAAUUUUUCCUAUUGUGGUGUUACAUUUGUAUUUAAUUUCUCACAAUUUUUCUUAUGAUUCAACUUUUAUCCUUGAAUUUUCACCAUUCAAUUUAUAAUCUCUCCAGCUAGUGAAAGAAUCAUUUGUCCCAUAAUUUCUCUCCUAUAUUAUUUUAUUUACACCCCAACAGUGCAUUAUUAUUUUUAUAUAGUCAAGCUAAAGUCUUUUGAUCUCUUUAUUUUAUGGGCAUAUGCUUCCAACAUGUAUUGAGUCUUCAAAUGUUUACUUGUAUCUCUUUUGGUUUUUGGUAGUCUAUGUAUGAUUAUCGAGUGGUAUUGUAGCAAUUUUCUAUGUGGCUUCCUUAUCAUUCUCCUGGCUCAUAGUUUCCUCUAUCACACAUUUUGUUCUUUUUCCCAUGUGCAUAGAGAUGUGGAUAUGUGUUGUUCUACUUUAUCUUAAAAUGUAUAGCAUCUGCAAUGUUAUCCAUGUUUUGUCUUAUUUAAAUGGUUAUCUUUAACUUUAAUUUGAGUAAAGAAAUCAUCAAAAACUUGGCCAGAAAUGUCACCAUGUUCCGUUUGCAAUUUGAGUAAAGAAAUUUCUUACCCUUUUUAGCCUUUUGAUAUUUGCUAUGAGAUUUCUGAACUGGCAGCCAUCUAUGGAGAAUUGGAGAUGAAGGAACUAGGCAUUGAACUGAAUGAUAAAGUAUUAGAGAUGGAACGAUUACAAUCUGAGUUGAUCCGUAGAGACUUGGAGGAAGAAACAGAGGAACCUGCUAAGAGUAGUUUAAAAACUGUUAUUGCGACCUUAGAGAAGGAGAAUGUCAGUCUUAAGGUUGAUACUUCUGCACAUUCCAGAAUGAAGUAUGCUUUUGCUUUGUUUGUAGCAUCUAAGUGUGAUUGUUGAUUUUAGUUGUUGUUUUCUUCAACCUUUUUUCUUCUCUACUAUAUGGCCAAGAAAUUGGCUGAGGAAUGAGAGGGGAAGGUUAGUAAAAUGGUGAGAACCACUACACCAAAAUCACCAAAUUGGAACGGAAAUGUCUAAAUUUGAACAGUUUUUUUACUAUCCAGAAGAAGAGAUGGAAAGGAUAGUCUUGAUUCAUAUUCUUAAAUGGAAAUUGGAAGUCCAGGAUACUUCUUUUCCAUUCUAAUGGAUAAUUCUGCAUUCUCUUGCAGACAAAGAUCAUCCCAGAAUUUGUAGCAUUUUUUGACUGUUUAGAAGAAGAGAUGAAAAGGCACCUUUUGAAUAGGAUUCAGGGGCUCCUUAUGGAAUCUCUCUUGUGGGUCCUUAGGGAAAGAAUGAAGUAGCGAUUGGUGUGGAAGCUUUAGCAGUUCAAUUGACUCACUAGGAAGGAGAGAUGCUUCAAGAAAAAACGGAAGUGAAAAAUAUAGCAAAUUUUCCUAAGUAGUGUAAAUGGGGGAACCUGGCAAUGCAGCUGAAUAGAAAAUCUUCUUUGAAGAUGGUAGCUCUGACAUGAAGAAGCACUUGCUGACUAAUCUGCCCGAAGGUUGCAAACUGAUGAAAUUGAUCAAAGUUGCAAGGCAUUCAUGGAUUAAAAAUUGGGAAAUCUUUUCUUUUUGGUAGUAUUUGAGUGUCCCCAUAUUCAAGGAACGGUUUCAACAUGACAAUGACAGUAAGCUUAACUCUAAAUAUCACCUUUAUAAUCAGAAUUUGUGCUCUUUAUUGUCUGCUUUUGAACUAUAAUUUUUUAUAUAAUUGACACAUUUUAUCUCGGAAUAUGAUCUAUGAAGUAGCAUAUGAACGCAAUCCCCAUCAAAAUUCGCACCUAGGGCAGC